rnacentral:piRNA from 1 species
UGUAGCUUGAUAAUGGGUAAUAUAUAUCCCCA